CCUACGGGUGGCAGCAGUGAGGAAUAUUGGUCAAUGGGCUUACGCCUGAACCAGCCAAGUCGCGUGAGGGAAGACUGCCCUAUGGGUUGUAAACCUCUUUUGUCAGGGAGCAACGCCGGCUACGUGUAGCCGGACUGAGAGUACCUGAAGAAAAAGCAUCGGCUAACUCCGUGCCAGCAGCCGCGGUAAUACGGGGGAUGCGAGCGUUAUCCGGAUUUAUUGGGUUAAAAGGGUGCGUAGGCGGAAUGCCAAGUCAGCGGGAAAACCGCGGGGCUCAACCUCGGUCCGCCGUUGAAACUGGCGUUCUUGAGUGGGCGAGAAGUAUGCGGAAUGCGUGGUGGAGCGGUGAAAUGCAUAGAUAUCACGAAGAACCCCGAUUGCGAAGGCAGCAUGCCGGCUUCCGACUGACGCUGAAGCACGAAAGCGUGGGGAUCGAACAUGAUUAGAUACCCCUGUAGUC
rnacentral:rRNA from 1 species